ensembl:snRNA U5 U5 spliceosomal RNA
AUGCUCUAGUUUCUCUUCAUAUAAAUCUGUUACCUUUUACUAAAGAUUCCCAUGGAGAUGAACACCUCAGAGUUUUUAAACUAAUUUUUUGAGGUCUUGCUUUAGCAGGACU